UACGUAGGGGGCAAGCGUUGUCCGGAAUCAUUGGGCGUAAAGCGCGUGUAGGCGGUUCGGUAAGUCGGCUGUGAAAGUCCAGGGCUCAACCCUGGGAUGCCGGUCGAUACUGCCGGACUAGAGUUCGGAAGAGGCGAGUGGAAUUCCCCGGUGUAGCGGUGAAAUGCGCAGAUAUCGGGAGGAACACCAAUGGCGAAGGCAGCUCGCUGGGACGUGACUGACGCUGAGGCGCGAAAGCGUGGGGAGCAAACAGG
rnacentral:rRNA from 1 species